GACUCUAAAGGGAUCUUUUUGUGCUGGGCUCCAGCAUUAUUCGCCAUGCCCAGCUGGGAUUGUCAAGAACCUCAAUUGACACCACAGAGGCAUGCUGUGACCGGGACUCUAACUCAUGACAGCCUGACCUGCCUGGACUUUAACACCCAGAUUAACAUAGACACAUUCAGUUGUGACAUCUCAGGGAAAGGUUUUUUCCCCUACUAUUUUUUUUUUUUUUUGCAAGAUUAAAGGAUGCUCAUUCGCAUGGACAAAAUUAAGCCUGCAGUCCAGGGCACUUACCUGCAUCUAGUGCUGUUGAUCUCCAGGACUCAUUUUGGCCAGGGAGGCAGUCAGUACUUCUGUGACAUGGGGAUGGAAGAAAGGAACGUGGAUAUUAUUUAGGUAAAGAGUGGUGAUUGGUAUAACAAAAACAGAGAAGAGGGACGAAAAUGGAAAGAGUCAUUUUGGUAUCAGCGCGAAGAAGGGCACAACAAAACAAAAUGGACAUUAGGGUCAGGGAAGCAAGCUUCAGCAGAAUGUGGGCACAGCCAUUGAAGUCUGGGCAUGUUAUCUUAUGACGCCAGAAGACAGCACUCAGCCUUAUAUGACUGACUUCCGACCUCGGCAGUGUUCGAGGGAGCCGAUGUGCCAGAGCAGCAUCUUUUCAAACCUGAGGCUACAUUGGCCGACGCUCUGAGGCAGAGUCUGCCGUCGUUCAGUGCUGCAAAGCCAGUAGCUAAUUUUCAUUUCCUCACAGUUCUGCUUUUGUUUGAAGUCCCUGAUGUAUUGUCUAGCAUCGUGUUUUACACAGACAUUUUUAAACCGAGACUCCCCCCCCCCCUUCCCCCCCGGCGUUUUAAGGACUGUGAAAAAGAGAAGAAAAAACACAUUUGCUAGGAUUUAUUUGUUCUGCGUACUUCUCAGAGGAGGCCAGUGUGGAAUGAGACAAGCCUCCACCUAAUGUUGAGGAGACCUUUCAUUAAAUGCAUUCUUAUGGUCAUAUUCUUGUGCGGCAGCAGAAGCGUAUUCCUUUGAAUGACACAAACAAGAGACAGGAGACCUCAGAAUAUGUGCUCGCUUCAUCGGCCGGGUCAUGAAUACUUGGCUGCAGGCGACGUGUAAUUUAUGGCUUUUCUUGGUGCAUAUUUGUUGGGGGGUAGUGAGGGAAAGAGGAAUAUAGACUGCACAGCGUGACUGCUCUGUAGGCAUUUCCGCUUUUGCUAGAAAAACACAUUGCCAUUUAAACUGAAUUUGUGUCUUGUAUGUUAUUUCUUUGCUUGAUAGGCUUUUUGACUGAAUCAGU